GGAAUAGCUCACCGAAAGGUGAAUUAAUACCCCAUAAUAUUCGAGAGCGGCAUCGCUCUCCAAUUAAAGCUCAGGCGGUUGAAGAUGAGCAUGCGGAACAUUAGCUUGUUGGCGGGGUAACGGCCCACCAAGGCAACGAUGUUUAGGGGAUCUGAGAGGAUUAACCCCCACACUGGUACUGAGACACGGAUCAGACUCCUACGGGAGGCAGCAGUAAGGAAUAUUGGACAAUGGAGGCAACUCUGAUCCAGCCAUGCCGCGUGCAGGAUGACGGCCCUAUGGGUUGUAAACUGCUUUUAUACGGGAAAAAACCCCACUACGUGUAGAGGGCUGAUGGUACCGUAAGAAUAAGGAUCGGCUAACUCCGUGCCAGCAGCCGCGGUAAUACGGAGGAUCCGAGCGUUAUCCGGAUUUAUUGGGUUUAAAGGGUGCGUAGGCGGGUUUGUAAGUCAGUGGUGAAAUCCUGCAGCUUAACUGUAGAACUGCCAUUGAUACUGCAAGCCUUGAGUACAUAUGAUGUGGGGCGGAAUGUGUAGUGUAGCGGUGAAAUGCUUAGAUAUUACACAGAACACCAAUUGCGAAGGCAGCUCACAAAACUGUAACUGACGCUGAGGCACGAAAGCGUGGGGAGUGAACAGGAUUAGAUACCCUGGUAAUCCACGCCUUAAACGAUGAUUACUCGAUGUGUGCGAUACACAGCACGCGUCCUAGCGAAAGCGUUAAGUAAUCCACCUGGGGAGUACGAUCGCAAGGUUGAAACUCAAAGGAAUUGACGGGGGCCCGCACAAGCGGAGGAGCAUGUGGUUUAAUUCGAUGAUACGCGAGGAACCUUACCUGGGCUUGAAAGUUAGUGACCGUCUGUGAAAGCAGACUUUCCGCAAGGACACGAAACUAGGUGCUGCAUGGCUGUCGUCAGCUCGUGCCGUGAGGUGUUGGGUUAAGUCCCGCAACGAGCGCAACCCCUAUCUUUAGUUGCCAGCGAGUAAUGUCGGGGACUCUAAAGAAACUGCCCGUGCAAACGGUGAGGAAGGUGGGGAUGACGUCAAGUCAGCACGGCCCUUACGUCCAGGGCUACACACGUGCUACAAUGGCGAAGACAAUGGGCAGCUACAUAGUGAUAUGA
rnacentral:rRNA from 1 species